rnacentral:rRNA from 1 species
ACACGACUACGAGUUUGAUCCUGUCUCAGGAUGAACGCUAGCGGCAGGCCUAAUACAUGCAAGUCGAACGGAUAUAUGUUUUUCGGAAUAUAUAUUAGUGGCGCACGGGUGAGUAACACGUACAUAACUUGCCCUCAAGCGGGGGAUAGCCUUGGGGAAACUGAGAGUAAUACCCCAUAGAAUUAUUGGACGGCAUCGUUUGAUAAUUAAAACUACGGUGCUUGGGGAUAGAUGUGCGUCUGAUUAGCUAGUUGGUGAGGUAACUGUUCACCAAGGCGACGAUCAGUAGGGGGCGUGAGAGCGUGGCCCCCCACACGGGUACUGAGACACGGACCCGACUCCUACGGGAGGCAGCAGUAAGGAAUAUUGGUCAAUGCCCGGAAGGGUGAACCAGCCAUGCCGCGUGAAGGAUGACUGCCCUCUGGGUUGUAAACUUCUUUUGGAUGGGACGAAAAAACGGGNUUUAUCCUGGACUGACGGUACCAUCAGAAUAAGCACCGGCUAACUCCGUG